GGCUCAUUAGCUUAAAGGUAGAGCAUCCCCCUUCAAGAAAACUUUUAAAUACAAGAGUUUUUUUGAAGGGGAGGAUUCCAGUUCAACUCUGGAAUGAGCCACCA
rnacentral:tRNA from 1 species